UCCCUUGUGGCUCAGCUGGUAAAGAAUCUGCCUGCAAUGCAGGAGGCCUGGGUUCGAUCCCUGGGUUGGGAA
rnacentral:tRNA from 1 species